rnacentral:rRNA from 1 species
UGCGUAGGCGGAUCAAUAAGUCAGUGGUGAAAUCUCUCGGCUCAACCGGGAAACUGCCAUUGAUACUGUUGAUCUUGAGUUCGGUUGAGGUAGGCGGAAUGUGUAAUGUAGCGGUGAAGUGCUUAGAUAUUACACAGAACACCAAUUGCGUAGGCAGCUUACUAGACCGACACUGACGCUGAGGCACGAAAGCGUGGGGAGCGAACAGGAUUAGAUACCCUGGUAGUCC